GGGCAGUUAGCUCAGCGGUAGAGCACUACCUUGACAUGGUAGGGGUCACAGGUUCGAUCCCUGUACUGCCCACCA
rnacentral:tRNA from 11 species